CAGUCGCCGCGGUAAUACGAAGGGGGCUAGCGUUGCUCGGAAUCACUGGGCGUAAAGGGUGCGUAGGCGGGUCUUUAAGUCAGGGGUGAAAUCCUGGAGCUCAACUCCAGAACUGCCUUUGAUACUGAAGAUCUUGAGUUCGGGAGAGGUGAGUGGAACUGCGAGUGUAGAGGUGAAAUUCGUAGAUAUUCGCAAGAACACCAGUGGCGAAGGCGGCUCACUGGCCCGAUACUGACGCUGAGGCACGAAAGCGUGGGGAGCAAACAGGAUUAGAUACCCCCGUAGUCCCUGUCUCUUAUAA
rnacentral:rRNA from 1 species